rnacentral:rRNA from 1 species
AUUGAACGCUGACGGCAGGCCUAACACAUGCAAGUCGAGCGAGCGGCGCACGGGUGAGUAAUGUAUGGGGACUGCCCGAUAGAGUGGGAUAACUACUGGAAACGGUAGCUAAUACCGCAUACUAUCGGAUAACCCAUAUGGGAUUAGCUAGUAGGUGAGGUAAAGGCUCACCUAGGCGAUGAUCCCUAGCUGGUCUGAGAGGAUGAUCAGCCACACUGGGACUGAGACACGGCCCAGACUCCUACGGAGGCAGCAGUGGGGAAUAUUGCACAAUGGGCGCAAGCCUGAUGCAGCCAUGCCGCGUGUAUGAAGAAGGCCUUAGGGUUGUAAAGUACUUUCAGUCGGGAGGCGUUACCGACAGAAGAAGCACCGGCUAACUCCGUGCCAGCAGCCGCGGUAAUUC